UUAAACUAGGAGGAGGCGAACAUCUUAAAGCUUUUCUCCGUGCAACAGAAAAGUGAAUCCAGGGUGCGGUGAGUUGCCGAGAGCCAGCUGCCUGCUCUAGACAGUUACAGGAGUUUUGUGGAUAUGCUACUCAGAGUUCAGCAAAAUGGACUACCGCACAGUGUGGAAACUUGUUUUCAGGCUGACAGGCAAAUAAGCCGUAUCACUUAAAGGGCCUGUAUGUGGCAUCUCUGAGCUGUAAGCUCCGGACAGCCUUGAGGGGAAAAAGUGCAGUGGAGCAAGACAAAAAGUACCACAAACUUCAGGCAACUGUUGCUUUCUUUCUGAUGGUCUUCUUGGACUUCCGCCAUGCCAAGGCUUAACUGCAUAAAGAUGAUAUGAAAAAUAAAUGGAAAAAAGAGAUGAAGAAUUUGAUCAUAUAAGAACUGAAUAAGCCGAUCUGCAUCUUGAAACAAGGCUUGAAUGAGUUACAUACACCAGACUCUGCUUAAGUGGCCAGCUCCUUUGUGGCUUCUCUUUGGUUCUGAGUUCUUCCGCCGAGCAUCAUGGAUCUGUUCCUAAAGUAGACAUAUUCUUUUUCAUUCCGCAAAUGAGACUAAAGUGCUGAAGGCGAGGGUGAAUCUUUUCAGUGCUCUGAUUCUGUCACUAAGUCUUGGACUUGAAGGGAAAAAAAAAAAAGAUGGGAAGGAAGGGAGUAUUUUUUUUUCUAUUUGCAUGAAGAAUAUUUUUUUGAAAGAUCAGAUUUGGUUCAAGUGACCUGGCACAAAGAAUAACAAGUUGCCAAAAUUCACUAUGAAUUUAGGAAGUGAAAAGUAUUCAGAUGGAUGAAGUUCUUUAUACUAAUCUGAGAUCAAAUAUUCAAUAUAAGAAGGGGAGAGUUAAAUUAUAAUCCAAACACGGUCUUGUUCCAGAAUGGCUUUUAAGUUCAGAAUAUGUUUAGGGCCCACUAUAGCAAGGCUACUGGAGAAAUAAUGCUGAACCAUUUGUUUAAACCAUUGGAAGAAAAGGAAGAUUUGAGCCUCCUUUGACCUCCUUGGAACGUACACAUUUGAAAGCCUUAUGCAUUAAAAAUUUAAUCUCUGUUGCCUCUAUACAGUAGAUAGAUAUUCUUUCCAAAAUAACUGAAAGUGUAUUUUGACAAUAUUAGAACUGCUUGUUACAUCUUCCAAAUCUACUGAAAGAAGUGUUUAAUAAAAUAACUACAAAAACCAUUCUGAUUAAUUGAAGAAGAAUUCGACUGGAUCUAAUCGGACUUUUCCUAGUCCCUGAGACCCUAACUUGUGAGGUUUUUUAGUAACAAUCACAAGUCAGGCUCUUGGGACCUAGGCGGAGGGGAACCAGCAGCUUUGGACCCUAUUAAUUUUAUUUGCAUUGUUUGGGGGAGGGGUUUGCCAAAGGGGGAGUUAUGUGAAAUGAUGGAUAUUUUAGCUUAGAAAGAAAACUGCAGUAUGCAGAGUGCAAAUGAUAAUAUAUGCUGCAGUGAUUUAUAUAUUUAUUUCUGUUGUAUUAAAAAUGAGUGAAGUCUUUAGCAGUCUGAUAACUGGAAGCUUUCAGCAAUUUAAUAAUUUUAUUUUAAUCAUGCUAAGAAUAACCAGGUUCUUAAUUUAUUUCUUAAUGUACAGCUUUAUUUAUACUUUUUUGUCAGCUUCCUGUGUCCUACUUCUUUUUUCCAUCCUCUGCUCUGAAAAAUCCAAAGUUUGCAGGCUGAAACAAAGAAUUGUUUACAUAUCAGAAAUGUUCAGUGAAUGGUAUUUUUGGUUACAGUUGAUCUUUUUUUUCCUUGCAUUAUAAUAUAUUGUUCUUAUCUUGCAGAGUGAUUCAGUAUGUUGUUAUACCUGCUUCCAACCAUAAUUAUACAGUGCAUAAGGUAUUUGUAUUCAAGAAAUCUGACAUAGAAUUGGAAGAAUUGGAAGGGGCCAUUUAGGCCUUAGAAGCCAAUCCUGUUGCAUGCAGGAAUCCAAAUGUAUGACAAAAGACUCUUCGUCCUCUGCUUGGACAUGUCCAGUGCAAAGAGCCAAUCAUUAGCUCUGGGAAAUUGCUUCCACUACUCUUACUGUUACGACAUUUUCCCUAAGAUUUAGCAGGAAUCUGUCCUCCUAUAACACGUUAUUUUGUGUUCUGCCCUUUGGGAUGGUACAAGAGGUCUUUGUAUUCAUCUGUGUGUCAUCCUCCAAGGUACUUGUUUUAUGUUUCUUAGAUGAAGAACUUACCAAAUGUCAUCCUGUUAUUUUCAGCCCAUUUUUCUAACCUAUCAAGAUUGUUCUGAAUUUUAUUUUUGUCUUCUAGGGUAUUAGCCAUUGCAUCUAAUUUUGUAUCAAUUGCAAAAUUUGAUAAACAUUCCUCAUAUCUCAUCUAAGUGAUUAAUAAAAAAAGGGUGUAGUGUGAACCUUGUGGCACUUCACUUGA